rnacentral:lncRNA from 1 species
AAAAAAACCAAAUAAAGUAACGCAAAAGGCUGUGAAAAUAAUGAAACUUAUGGUUAAAAUCACAAAAUAUUGCAACAUGACUGCAUGUUUAUGAUAUUUGCAAAUUUUGGCAUAUUCUUAUUAAAGUGUGAUUGGUGACGUAAGGGUAAAAUACUAUUUACAAGCGAAUUAAGGCGACAGUUGUUUAAAAAUGUUCAAGUCUGAUGGGAUCUCGAUAAAGCUAAGAAGUGGGUUUUAGUUUCUAAAAGAUUGAAAGAAUAUUAACAAAUGAUUUACGAAGAGAGUAGUCUACCAAUGUUCAGGAUUGUUGAAAAAUAAUGAAUUUGUACACUUCAUCACAAAUACAUAACAUGUUUCAUCUAUCUGGUUUUAAUAUAUCCACAUGUUUCAUACAAUUGAAGACAAUGUCACAUCUAAGUAUAGCAUUUACCUUUAAUUAAAUAAAGGCAGGGUUUACAAUGAUAUCAACAUGAAAAAUUACACACAUACAUGUGAAAUAUGGUUGUAUAAUGAUAAACUACAAAUUUUCUAAUUAUAAAAUUUAAAAUGUAAAUGUAUUUACCA